AUUGAGCGCUGGCGGCAUGCCUUACACAUGCAAGUCGAACGGCAGCACGGGAGCAAUCCUGGUGGCGAGUGGCGAACGGGUGAGUAAAGUAUCGGAACGUGCCCAGUCGUGGGGGAUAACGUAGCGAAAGUUACGCCAAUGCCGCAUCCGAUCUACGGAUGAAAGCGGGGGAUCGAAAGACCUCGCGCGAUUGGAGAGGCCGAUAUUAGAUUAGGUAGUUGGUGGGGUAAAGGCUCACCAAGCCGACGAUCUGUAGCUGGUCUGAGAGGACGACCAGCCACACUGGGACUGAGACACGGCCCAGACUCCUACGGGAGGCAGCAGUGGGGAAUUUUGGACAAUGGGCGCAAGCCUGAUCCAGCCAUACCGCGUGCAGGAUGAAGGCCUUCGGGUUGUAAACCGCUUUUGUACGGAACGAAAAGGUUUGGCCUAAUAAGCUGAGCUCAUGACGGUACCGUAAGAAUAAGCACCGGCUAACUACGUGCCAGCCGCCGCAGUAA
rnacentral:rRNA from 1 species